rnacentral:rRNA from 1 species
UACGUAGGGGGCAAGCGUUGUCCGGAAUCAUUGGGCGUAAAGAGCGCGUAGGCGGCUCGGUAAGUCCGCUGUAAAAGUCAAAGGCUCAACCUUUGAAUGUCAGUGGAAACUGCCGGGCUAGAGUCCGGAAGAGGCGAGUGGAAUUCCUGGUGUAGCGAUGGAAUGCGCAGAUAUCAGGAGGAACACCAACGGCGAAGGCAGCUCGCUGGGACGGUACUGACGCUGAGGCGACGAAAGCGUGGGGAGCGAACAGG